rnacentral:miRNA from 1 species
AAACUCGAAUGAACUCUUUGGC